GUACAGCGUAAGGCAGCCAGGUUUGUCUUCAAUGAUUAUAAAGACAGAUCACCUGGAGCAGUUACAAAUUUAAUAAAAUCAUUGGAAUGGGAAAAUUUAGAAUUAAGAAGGAAAAAGGCUAGAUUAACUAUGCUGUAUAAAAUAAAUUGGGGGUUAGUAGAAGUUCCUAAGGACAACUUAACAAUUUCUGAUAGACGCACUAGGGGGAAACAUAAAUUUAGGCAAAUAUCCACAAAUAAAGAUUUCUAUAAAUUUUCAUUUUAUCCUCGCAUUAUUUCGGACUGGAACUCACUACCUGAAGCAAUAGGUAUGUCUGACACCCUGGAAUCCUUCAAAAGUGGCAUAUCCACUCUAACACUUGAAGGAUCCACAGCAACUUAUUAAACUUUAAAGCCACUGUACAUAAUGUAUAUAUGUUAUUGAUAACGAUUUUUCUUUGUCAUAUUAUUUUUAAAUUAAGUCCAUAUGUACAUAGCACACAAGUUCCGGGAAGUUUUACACUCCUACCUAGGAGUCUACUCCCGUAUUCGGAAGAAGAAGAAGAAGAA
rnacentral:lncRNA from 1 species